rnacentral:rRNA from 1 species
UACGUAGGGUGCAGGCGUUAAUCGGAAUUACUGGGCGUAAAGCGUGCGCAGGCGGUUUCUUAAGUCAGAUGUGAAAGCCCCGGGCUUAACCUGGGAACUGCGUUUGAAACUGGGAGACUUGAGUGUGGCAGAGGGGGGUGGAAUUCCGACGUGUAGCAGUGAAAUGCGUAGAGAUGUGGAGGAACACCGAUGGCGAAGGCAGCCCCCUGGGCUAACACUGACGCUCAUGCACGAAAGCGUGGGGAGCAAACAGG